rnacentral:rRNA from 1 species
GUAGGUGGCAAGCGUUGUCCGGAAUUAUUGGGGCGUAAAGCGCGCACAGGCGGUUCUUUAAGUCUGAUGUGAAAGCCCACGGGCUCAACCGUGAGGGUCAUUGGAAACUGGAGAACUUGAGUACAGAAGAGGAAAGCGGAAUUCCACGUGUAGCGGUGAAAUGCGUAGAGAUGUGGAGGAACACCAGUGGCGAAGGCGGCUUUCUGGUCUGUAACUGACGCUGAGGCGCGAAAGCGUGGGGAGCAAACAGGAUUAGAUACCCUGGUAGUCCACGCCGUAAACGAUGAGUGCUAAGUGUUAGGGGGUUUCCGCCCCUUAGUGCUGCAGCUAACGCAUUAAGCACUCCGCCUGGGGAGUACGGCCGCAAAGGCUG